AACGCACAUUGCGCCCCCUGGUAUUCCGGGGGGCAUGCCUGUUCGAGCGUCAUUACAACCCCUCAAGCUCCGCUUGGAAUUAGGCGUUCGCCCCCUUCACCAGGGGCGCGCCCCAAAGACGUCGGCGGUGGCCCCGAGCCUCAAGCGUAGUAGAAACAUUUCGCUUAGAGGACUCGGCGGUCGCUCGCCUCGAGAACCCAACACCUUCAAGGUUGACCUCGGAUCAGGUAGGGAUACCCGCUGAACUUAA
rnacentral:misc_RNA from 1 species